AAUCAUUCCCUUUUUUUCAAACACCGACCAUUGGGUUUCUUAGCCUCCAGUGCACCGCCGCUGCAGCCAUGAAGACUGGUGGCCGACGACGGAGGAAAAGAGGUCAAAGACCUCGGCCUUAGAAUACCCCGAGGGCUGAACCCUUCAACCUUAAACAAGAAAAGAGGAAGAUUCUCAACACCCUCUAGAUCCGGCGGUCGCAAAGGAGGAGAACCCUCCGUGAGCCGGAUCCCGGCGCUUCCUCGGUAAGUCCCCUCUCUCCUUUUUAUUUUCACAUUUUCUUUGUAAAAAUUUCGUAAAAAAAUGCGUAGAUAAAUAAAUGAAAUAAAUAAAUGAUAGAUGAUAAGAAACGGAAAUCAGAAAAACUAAAGAAAACAAUCAGAUUUCUAUCAACCUUUUAGAAUCUCAGUUCUGUAUUUCUUGAUUCACUGAUGUGUGUUCGUAAAAAAAACAACGGUGAGAUUCGGGCUUUUAUAGCCGAAUCAAAAUGAUUUUUUCUUCUUUAUUAUCUGUUAACUAUUAUUAUUGCUCGCGUGCUUCCUUUUUGCCAUUAUAUUUAAUUUUCGCAGGUGUCAGACGCGUGGACGACCGGUGGUAGGCGAGCCUUGGGCGGUGGCGGCAUGUGAGGAGCUGGAGCGGCGUACCUGGCAGAGGUGUGCAUGCGGCUAGGGCUGGGUUUUUUUUUUUGCUGAAACAAAUUUUAAUUUACUGGGCUUUGGGCUGUAAUUUUUGGGUUAUUUUCAUUUGUUUUGGGUCUUUAGGCCUAGGUCAAAAUUGACCUGUUACACUCCACUCUUGACUUUUUGGAUUAAAUAAUUAAUACAAAUGAAAGGAACUAUUUCCAUAAAUGAAACAUCAAGCUGCUUUCGUCACAAUUUCCUGCUUGCUAGUGAUGGCCCAAAGUACUUGCCCCAUCCAGUCCUUGAAACAAAGCCAACC
rnacentral:lncRNA from 1 species